rnacentral:sRNA from 1 species
CUCUUCAAUCUGUUGUGGGCAGAUAAAGUGAAUGUGUGAAUCGAUACCGCCAGCCGUCAGGAUCGAACCUUCACCUGCCAAAAUUUCCGUGCCCGGGCCAAUGACUAUGUCGACGCCCGGCUGAACGUCUGGGUUACCCGCUUUACCCAACGCUUGAACUCGUCCAUCUUUGAUGGCGACAUCGGCUUUUACGAUGCCCCAAUAGUCCAACACAAUCGCGUUAGUGAUCACCAAGUCAGGUGUUUCGGCACUUGGACGCUGGCUUUGCCCUUGCCCAUCGCGAA